rnacentral:sRNA from 1 species
AACCUAAUUCCAUUUUCUUCUCUUUCUCUUUUACAUUUUCAUACCCAGUGGCCAACUAAACCAAAAAACAAACGAGUUUCAAACCUCUGUUUUACCGUAGAAAGUUCCGCGGCCGAUGGCGUCAGCGUUUGCGUCUCCCAAAGCAGCCUGGCUGAGGUAGGUCUCGGCAAGUUGGACUCUCUUGACAUUCUCUUGUUCCAUCACAAGCAUGUUUCCGUAUUCCAUAAGCUUCUCAUAAGUCAUCUCGGGUUGCUCGAACACGGGAGGUCCUUCCCUUGAGUUAACCAGCCUCUUUCCGAUCUUCUCAACUCCAAGGCUCUCAACGAACUUCCUCACUUCAUCAUCGUACACUCUCGCCCUCAAAGCACCGAAGAAAUCUGUCCACACCAAAAACACAUAUCAGAUUCUGCACGAGGUCCUAUAUAGAACAUUUUCA